rnacentral:rRNA from 1 species
UACAGGCUUAACACAUGCAAGUCGAGGGGCAGCAUGGUCUUAGCUUGCUAAGGCCGAUGGCGACCGGCGCACGGGUGAGUAACACGUAUCCAACCUGCCGUCUACUCUUGGACAGCCUUCUGAAAGGAAGAUUAAUACAAGAUGGCAUCAUGAGUCCGCAUGUUCACAUGAUUAAAGGUAUUCCGGUAGACGAUGGGGAUGCGUUCCAUUAGAUAGUAGGCGGGGUAACGGCCCACCUAGUCUUCGAUGGAUAGGGGUUCUGAGAGGAAGGUCCCCCACAUUGGAACUGAGACACGGUCCAAACUCCUACGGGAGGCAGCAGUGAGGAAUAUUGGUCAAUGGGCGAGAGCCUGAACCAGCCAAGUAGCGUGAAGGAUGACUGCCCUAUGGGUUGUAAACUUCUUUUAUAAAGGAAUAAAGUCGGGUAUGGAUACCCGUUUGCAUGUACUUUAUGAAUAAGGAUCGGCUAACUCCGUGCCAGCAGCCGCGGUAAUACGGAGGAUCCGAGCGUUAUCCGGAUUUAUUGGGUUUAAAGGGAGCGUAGAUGGAUGUUUAAGUCAGUUGUGAAAGUUUGCGGCUCAACCGUAAAAUUGCAGUUGAUACUGGAUAUCUUGAGUGCAGUUGAGGCAGGCGGAAUUCGUGGUGUAGCGGUGAAAUGCUUAGAUAUCACGAAGAACUCCGAUUGCGAAGGCAGCCUGCUAAGCUGCAACUGACAUUGAGGCUCGAAAGUGUGGGUAUCAAACAGGAUUAGAUACCCUGGUAGUCCACACGGUAAACGAUGAAUACUCGCUGUUUGCGAUAUACAGCAAGCGGCCAAGCGAAAGCGUUAAGUAUUCCACCUGGGGAGUACGCCGGCAACGGUGAAACUCAAAGGAAUUGACGGGGGCCCGCACAAGCGGAGGAACAUGUGGUUUAAUUCGAUGAUACGCGAGGAACCUUACCCGGGCUUAAAUUGCAGAUGAAUUACGGUGAAAGCCGUAAGCCGCAAGGCAUCUGUGAAGGUGCUGCAUGGUUGUCGUCAGCUCGUGCCGUGAGGUGUCGGCUUAAGUGCCAUAACGAGCGCAACCCUUGUUGUCAGUUACUAACAGGUUCCGCUGAGGACUCUGACAAGACUGCCAUCGUAAGAUGUGAGGAAGGUGGGGAUGACGUCAAAUCAGCACGGCCCUUACGUCCGGGGCUACACACGUGUUACAAUGGGGGGUACAGAGGGCCGCUACCACGCGAGUGGAUGCCAAUCCCCAAAACCUCUCUCAGUUCGGACUGGAGUCUGCAACCCGACUCCACGAAGCUGGAUUCGCUAGUAAUCGCGCAUCAGCCACGGCGCGGUGAAUACGUUCCCGGGCCUUGUACACACCGCCCGUCAAGCCAUGGGAGCCGGGGGUACCUGAAGUGCGUAACCGCGAGGAGCGCCCUAGGGUAAAACUGGUGACUGGGGCUAAGUCAUAACAA